rnacentral:rRNA from 1 species
AGAAUAUUAUUUAAAUUAUUUGGGAAGAAGAUUAUUAAUUAAAAUAAUUUUAGUGGAUUUGUUUUAGUAUAGUUUAUAGAAGAAAAUUGAAUGAGUAAUAGGGAAGUAGUACUGUGAAGGAAAUAUGAAAUAGGUGAAAUAGUAAUUAGGAUGAAAGAAGAAUAAAAUUUGUACCUUGGGUAUCAGGGUUUAUUAAAUAAUAGUAAGGAUUUAUAAUUCUCGAAUUGAAAAGAGUUAAAAUAGUAUAGUAGUUAAUGUAUUAUGAUUAUUAUAAAUUCUAUUUUAGGGAUGAAAUGUUAAGCGUUUUUUAAGUUAUCUGGUUUUUCAAGAAAUGAAUUUAAUUCAUGUUAUAGGAGUAAGUAUUUAAUUAAUAUUAAUAACUUAUUUUUGAUAACAAAUGUAUAAGGGGAUAAGCUUUUAUAUAGAAGUUAUAAGUUAUGAAUUUUUUUACAAGGAGUAGUAGGCUUUAAAUUAGCUAUCAAUGAGAUAAUGUUAUAAAUUGUUCUGUAAAUACAUAUUUUUUUAAUAGCUUUAGUUUGUGUAUUGAAAUAUUAUAUCAAAUAAAUUGAUAUAAGUGAUGAUGAUAAAAUGAGUAUAUAAAAAUUGUUUACUAUAAUAUUUUUUUUGAAUUUAUAAUAAGGAACUAGGCAAAUUAUUACUCGCCUGUUUAUCAAAAACAUCUCCUUUUGUAUUUAUUUAAGGUAGGGCCUGCCCACUGAAAUUUAUUUGAAGGGCCGCGGUAUUAUGACCGUGCAAAGGUAGCAUAAUCAUUAGUCUUUUAAUUGAAGGCUGGAAUGAAUGGUUUGACGAGGUGAUGACUGUCUCAUUAUAAUAUAUAUAGAAGUUAACUUUUAAGUUAAAAGGCUUAAAUUUUGAUGGAGGACGAGAAGACCCUAUAGAGCUUUAUACAUAGAUUUAGAUUUGUAUUUAGUGGUUUAUAAAAUUUUAGGUUUAUUGUAUUGUGUUGGGGUGACAUAAAGAUAAAAUUAACUCUUUAUUUUAAAGACAUUAAUGUGUGGAUUAUUGAUCCAUUUUUAGUGAUCAUAAGAUUAAGUUACCUUAGGGAUAACAGCGUAAUUUUUCUUGAGAGUUCAUAUCAACAGAGAAGAUUGCGACCUCGAUGUUGGAUUAAGGAAUAUAAUUAGAUGCAGCAGUUUAGUUAAUAGGUCUGUUCGACCUUUAAAUCCUUACAUGAUCUGAGUUCAGACCGGUGUGAGCCAGGUCGGUUUCUAUCCUCAUUGUUUUUUUAUAUUUUAGUACGAAAGGACCAAGUAUUUUAAAUAUUUUAUUAUAUUUGAUUAAUAUUA